GCCCCAGCUCAGCGGCAGGAUCCCCCGGCCUCUCUCCUAAAGCGGGUGUCGCAGGUUCGAAUCCUGCCGGGGGCA
rnacentral:tRNA from 1 species